rnacentral:rRNA from 1 species
GACGAACGCUGGCGGCGCGCCUAACACAUGCAAGUCGAACGGAGCUAUGUUGAAAGCUUGCUGGAUAUAUAGCUUAGUGGCGGACGGGUGAGUAACACGUGAGUAACCUGCCUUUCAGAGUGGAAUAACGUUUGGAAACGAACGCUAAUACCGCAUAAUGUCAGAGGAUGGCAUCGUUCUUUGACCAAAGAUUUAUCGCUGAAAGAUGGGCUCGCGGCCGAUUAGGUAGUUGGUGAGAUAACAGCCCACCAAGCCGACGAUCGGUAGCCGGACUGAGAGGUUGAUCGGCCACAUUGGGACUGAGACACGGCCCAGACUCCUACGGGAGGCAGCAGUGGGGGAUAUUGCACAAUGGGGGGAACCCUGAUGCAGCGACGCCGCGUGAGGGAAGACGGUUUUCGGAUUGUAAAC